rnacentral:rRNA from 1 species
GACAGAGGGGGCAAGCGUUGCUCGGAAUUACUGGGCGUAAAGGGCGCGUAGGCGGGAUGGCAAGUCGGUCGUGAAAUCCCUCGGCUCAACUGAGGAUCGUCGAUCGAUACUGCCGUUCUUGAGGAUUGCAGAGGAGACUGGAAUUCCCGGUGUAGCGGUGAAAUGUGUAGAGAUCGGGAGGAACACCGGUGGCGAAGGCGGGUCUCUGGGCAAUUCCUGACGCUGAGGCACGAAAGCCAGGGGAGCGAACGGG